rnacentral:tRNA from 1 species
GGAUUGUGGCUCAGUGGUAGAGAGUGUGCCUCACAUGUAUGAGGCACUGGGUUUGAUUCUCAGCACCA